rnacentral:rRNA from 1 species
GAGUUUGAUCCUGGCUCAGAUUGAAUGCUGGCGGCACGCCUAACACAUGCAAGUCGAGCGGCAGCGGGAUAUGUAGCAAUACAUAUUGCCGGCGAGCGGCGGACGGGUGAGUAAUACGUAAGAAUCUGCCCUCAAGCGGGGGAUAACUAAUGGAAACGUUAGCUAAUACCGCAUAAUCUCGGAAGAGAAAAGGUGCCCGUAAGGGUGUCACUUGAGGAGGAGCUUGCGUCUGAUUAGCUAGUUGGUGGGGUAAGAGCCUACCAAGGCGAUGAUCAGUAACUGGUCUGAGAGGACGACCAGUCACACUGGGACUGAGACACGGCCCAGACUCCUACGGGAGGCAGCAGUGGGGAAUAUUGGACAAUGGGGGAAGCCCUGAUCCAGCGAUGCCGCGUGAGUGAAGAAGGCCUUCGGG